rnacentral:misc_RNA from 1 species
UGCUCAUAGCCAAGUCGGAUUAUUAAUAUAAUUAAAACGCUCCAUUAAUUUUAAUUUCGCCACGUUUCUACAAAGGUUUUAUUGAAUUUAAUACAAGAAAAUGGAUGUUUUAACACUUUUCGACUAUGGAUUAGAAAAGGAAUUGGUGUUGCUGAAACAAAUCGCCGAUUAUACUACGGCCGAUAUUAAAAAACAUAGCAAAACUUUAGAGCAGGUCGAAUUAGCUGCAGUUAUCGGGUUGUUACAUGCUCAUGUGAACCGAUUACCAAGCCCUGGGGGAAGUUUGACAUGUCAUGAUAGAAUCCUGCUUUGUAAUUUACGGAAUAUAAUGGAUGGGUUUUCGGUAGUAUUUAAACAAAGAAUGGUUCAAAUAUUUUCUAAAUAUGAGUACCUUGUGAAAAUUAAAGACAUUCAUAAAGAAAAAAGUAUAAUCCCUCGACCAGUAUCUUUUUCCGGAAAAAAGCAUAAGAAGACAAUAAAAGAAACCAAAAAGCAAUGGAAUGUAGAUGAAACUCCUAAAGUCAGCUUAAAGGAUGAUGUUUUACUAAAAGCGCCAAAGGAUAAAAGUUUCUACAUGCAAGAAGUUGAUUUUGAUGGGGCUAAGCAGUAUCUCAAUGAACUACUGGAAAUAUCACAUAGGAACUCGUCAAUACGAUUAGAUAAAAUACGUGAAACGCCUCAAAUACAUGAAGUUCCUAAAAUAAGUGAGCCACACUUUCAAGAGUCGCACAUUCAAAAUGUGCAAACUUUACAUGAUAUGACAGUAGGAGACAUUUCUAAAUUGAUUCCGGAGAGAAAAAUGAAAACUAUAUCGUACAAUUUAAGUGGCAUAGUAGAAAUACAGGCGGAUAAGAGUAGAAAAAAAAGUGUUGACAUUUAUAAGAACAUUUAUCGGGUAAAUACAAAGUUUGAUAAAAAUUUUCUUACAAGACCAGCAGAAUUAAUGGAUCCAGUUGUUGUCUACUGUGAUGUCAACAAAGAAGAUAAUAUGAUGAGCUUGGUUGCUAAUGAAACAUCAAUUGAUUUUAACUUCUUAACUGAUAAUGACGAACUUAUUGAUAUUGUUCAAUAUUCUCAUCCAAGGGGUAUGGAUUUUGAAGAAGAAUCCUCAAAUGUUCAAUUAGAUGGUGCUUAUCUUAUGGAAAGCACUGUUGAAGAUCUGACAGUAAAGGAAAAGGUUUUUUUGUGUAAGUAUGUAAGGUUAUGUUCCAGGAGAAUGUGAUCAGACCCAUACCGGCAAUUUCACCUUGUUUGCUAACACCAAACAUUGUCAUUGAGGAAACUCACAGCGAAAUGACUGAUAUGGUAAUGC